CCAUCCUUCCCAACACCUUCCUCAGACCCCUGACAGAAAUAAGAGAUUUUUUCUUGUUUCCCCUCGUCUCUAAUCUCUUUUCAACAGUUUGUUGUUUGUUUUUCUAGAGGAAGCGUUCUAUGUCAGGUCCAGUCGGGAUUGGGAAGUGCUUGGGAGCAGCUGCAGCGUGGAUGGGCCGUGCCCUUGGAGAAGGCUGAGGACAUCGUUUGGGACCAGCUUUUCUCCCAGCAGAGGAUGGCGUGAGCCGGGCUCUGCGUGUGCUGAGGCUGCUCUGGGCUCUGCCAGGGCUCUGCUGGGCUCUGCCCUGGGCACAGCUGGGCUGGCUCUGCCCUCACAUUGCUCUGACAGCUUUGCAUCAGACGAGCCCGUUGGAGCACAGUGCCUGAGCUUUCUGCUUUGGCAGAAGUGCCACGAGUGGGCCAAACCUGGCAAGUGAGCCGUGUUCCUGAGGCAGUGCAGUCUGGAGCUGAUGGAUGGAGAAUUGCCCUUCCCACUUCCAAACCAGAGCAAAAAGCCAGGUCCUGGCCCUCUUCCAGCCAAAGAGGAAAGGGCCCCACCAAGCCUUGUUACCCACAGACAACAUGGUAAAGCUGAACACUAAAGGACCUUGGGGGCAUUAUUCUGGAAUUAAAAAGUUGCCAGCUCCAUGGACAACAGAAUUAUUGUUCUUAACUUGAAUGAGAUUGAGCAAAAAUAAUGAAGAACAGUGUCACUAAAGUACUACUGAUGUCUGUAAGUUGUACCUUGAUAGUCAGCCAGAAUCUUUGUUUGCCAGAACACCUCCAGAGUUUCACCAAGGGAUCAGUCAUCAAAAAUGUUUUUAAAAUUUAAAGACCACGGAAGCCAAAGCACACAGUGUCACUAAUUGCUGGGUAUGUUCUCAGCUGAAGUUGGGAGGAAUGGGACACAUCCUUUUUU